GGUUGUAUAGUGUAGCGGUUAUCACAUCGGAUUCUGAGCAGCCUCUGGCGUUCACGAAUGUUCCGGGAACCCCGGUUCGAGUA